rnacentral:tRNA from 16 species
GUUUGGUCUAGAGGUAUGAUUCUGCCUUCGGGUGGCAGAGGUCCCGGGUUCGAAUCCCGG